GAGUUUGAUCAUGGCUCAGAACGAACGCUGGCGGCAGGCUUAACACAUGCAAGUCGAGCGCCCCGCAAGGGGAGCGGCAGACGGGUGAGUAACGCGUGGGAAUCUACCCAUCUCUACGGAACAACUCCGGGAAACUGGAGCUAAUACCGUAUACGUCCUUCGGGAGAAAGAUUUAUCGGAGAUGGAUGAGCCCGCGUUGGAUUAGCUAGUUGGUGGGGUAAUGGCCUACCAAGGCGACGAUCCAUAGCUGGUCUGAGAGGAUGAUCAGCCACACUGGGACUGAGACACGGCCCAGACUCCUACGGGAGGCAGCAGUGGGGAAUAUUGGACAAUGGGGGAAAGCCUGAUCCAGCCAUGCCGCGUGAGUGAUGAAGGCCCUAGGGUUGUAAAGCUCUUUCACCGGUGAAGAUAAUGACGGUAACCGGAGAAGAAGCCCCGGCUAA
rnacentral:rRNA from 1 species